rnacentral:rRNA from 1 species
CGGUACAGGGUGAUAGUCCCGUACACCAAAAUGCACAGGCUGUGAACUCGAAGAGUAGGGCGGGACACGUGGUAUCCUGUCUGAAUAUGGGGGGACCAUCCUCCAAGGCUAAAUACUCCUGACUGACCGAUAGUGAACCAGUACCGUGAGGGAAAGGCGAAAAGAACCCCGGCGAGGGGAGUGAAAAAGAACCUGAAACCGUGUACGUACAAGCAGUGGGAGCACCUUCGGGUGUGACUGCGUACCUUUUGUAUAAUGGGUCAGCGACUUAUAUUCUGUAGCAAGGUUAACCGUAUAGGGGAGCCGCAGGGAAACCGAGUCUUAACUGGGCGUUAAGUUGCAGGGUAUAGACCCGAAACCCGGUGAUCUAGCCAUGGGCAGGUUGAAGGUUGGGUAACACUAACUGGAGGACCGAACCGACUAAUGUUGAAAAAUUAGCGGAUGACUUGUGGCUGGGGGUGAAAGGCCAAUCAAACCGGGAGAUAGCUGGUUCUCCCCGAAAGCU